GGAUAGCUCAGUCAGUAGAGCAUGAGACUCUUAAUCUCAGAGUUGUGUGUUUGAACCCCAUGUUGGACA